rnacentral:rRNA from 1 species
UGGGGAAUAUUGCACAAUGGGCGCAAGCCUGAUGCAGCCAUGCCGCGUGUAUGAAGAAGGCCUUCGGGUUGUAAAGUACUUUCAGCGGGGAGGAAGGUGUUGAGGUUAAUAACCUCAGCAAUUGACGUUACCCGCAGAAGAAGCACCGGCUAACUCCGUGCCAGCAGCCGCGGUAAUACGGAGGGUGCAAGCGUUAAUCGGAAUUACUGGGCGUAAAGCGCACGCAGGCGGUCUGUCAAGUCGGAUGUGAAAUCCCCAGGCUCAACCUGGGAACUGCAUUCGAAACUGGCAGGCUAGAGUCUUGUAGAGGGGGGUAGAAUUCCAGGUGUAGCGGUGAAAUGCGUAGAGAUCUGGAGGAAUACCGGUGGCGAAGGCGGCCCCCUGGACAAAGACUGACGCUCAGGUGCGAAAGCGUGGGGAGCAAACA